rnacentral:lncRNA from 1 species
GCUCUGAGGAGUCACUUGGAAUAGAGACCUACAAACCUUGGGAGGAUCUCACUGCGUAGAAGUCUGUCUGUGUGUGUGGGUUUUCUCUCCCCUGUGAAGGUGCAACCGACACAGGAACAUCCAGCAGUGCAACAGGGUUUUAGAGAACUUAAGGACUUUGCAGACAAAUGAGGAAGAGGUAACUUCAAGGUCACAGGAGAUGGUUGCUCCGUGCUGUGGUGUGAUAGGUGAUAACACCUGUGAAUUGCAGGAGUGCAGGUGAAGGCUCUUGGUGUUUCAUGGGUUCUCCACAGCUCUCAUAACUCAAAAUGAGAAAUGAUGCCUGUAAGAGAGUCUGGCUUCUGGAGCUUCUCAUCACCUGCUUUCUGCAAUCCCAGCCCAUUUGCUGUGUCUUUUAAGGGGCACCUGAAAUCACUGGUCACAUUUGAGGGUAUUGCUAAAAAGCUCUGAGAGCAGCUCCUGAUUCUACUCUGAAGAGAAGUGCUAUGUGAGACAAAAGGAAAAGUUGGUACUUUU